UUGGUCCUACGGGAGGCAGCAGUGGGGAAUAUUGCACAAUGGGGGAAACCCUGAUGCAGCGACGCCGCGUGAGUGAAGAAGUAUUUCGGUAUGUAAAGCUCUAUCAGCAGGGAAGAAAAUGACGGUACCUGACUAAGAAGCCCCGGCUAACUACGUGCCAGCAGCCGCGGUAAUACGUAGGGGGCAAGCGUUGUCCGGAUUUACUGGGUGUAAAGGGCGUGUAGCCGGGCCGGCAAGUCAGAUGUGAAAUCCCAAGGCUCAACCUUGGAACUGCAUUUGAAACUGUUGGUCUUGAGUAUCGGAGG
rnacentral:rRNA from 1 species